UCUCCGUAGGUGAACCUGCGGAGGGAUCAUUACAGAGUUCAUGCCCUACCGGGUAGAUCUCCCACCCUAUGUUAUUAUUGCUUUGUUGCUUUGGCGGGCCGUUAGGCUCCGGCCCGACUACCGGCCCCGGCUGGUAAGCGCCCGCCAGAGGACCCAAAACCCUGAAUAUUAGUGUCGUCUGAGUACUAUAUAAUAGUUAAAACUUUCAACAACGGAUCUCUUGGUUCUC
rnacentral:misc_RNA from 1 species